AUCAUGAUAGAUGUUCGAUUCAUCUUAGGGGCGAAGUAGAUCGGAUUAGAGCCAGGUUGGUUAGGCGCCUCGUUUGGGUCGAGGAAUAGUUAGGUUCGAAUCCUAAUAAUCCGAAUUUCUAUAUUAAAUAGAAAUGUAAUGUAAUAGAUAUAUAAUAUGUGUAUAUAAUACAUAUAAGUAUACAAAGAGACUAUUAUGGAUAUUCAUGCUAUGUAUAACAGAGAUUUAAUUUAUUAAAAUAAAUAUUAACUCUAAGAGAAAUUCUAUAGUAAACGAAGUGAAUUGAAAUAUCUUAGUAACUUCAGGAAAAGAAAUCAAAAGAGAUUCUAUAAUUAGUGUGAACGAAAGUAGAAAAGCCUAAAAUUUAAUAAAAAAGUAAAAUUGAUCAAAAUCAGUUUGAAUUUUAUGGGGAACCUUCCUCAAAGGCUAAAUAUUAUACAUAAGCGAUAGAGAACAUAAGUACCGUGAGGGAAAUAAUAAUUUGAAAUAGUAGUUUUAUAAGCAGUUCGAGCAAUUUGAGCAAGAACGUACCUUUUGCAUAAUGGGUCACCAAGUUAACUUUAGAUGCAAGUUUAAGCGUAGUUAAACCAAUUAUCAAAAAAAUGAUAAGUGUCUAAAGUUAGACCCGAAGCCUGGUGAUCUUACCAUGAUCAGGAUGUAAACAGUCCGAACGGCAUAUCGUUGCAUAGAUAUCCGAAGAAUUAUGGUAAGUUUAGUGAAAGACAAAACUGACCAGGAUAGCUGGUUUUCUGCGAAACCUAUAAUAGUAGGCAAUUCAAAUAACAUCUUAGCAGGUACAGAACUUAAUCUCAGACAAGAUGUAAAAAUUUAAAUUUUUAAAAUACAUUUUGAUUUGUAUAUAUCGGGGGAUCGUGAAGAUUUUAUCGGUGAGUAUGUAGACUCGGAAUGGCAAAGAUGAAUAUUGAAUUAUCAGACAUAGAGUGCUAAGGUUGUAUGUCAAAAGGGAAACAGCCCAGAACAAGAUUUAAGGUUCCAAAAUUAUUAGUUAAGUGAAAAUAAGAAGGUUUCUAUUUGAGUCGACAAGAAGAUGGGCUUAGAAGCAGCCAUAAUUUUAUGAAUUCGUAACAGAGCGCUUGUUAAUUUUUAGAAGCAUCGAAAAUUUAACGGAUCUAAACAAUAUACCGAAAUCUUGUCCAUAUUUAAUAAUAAUAAUAAUUAUUGUUGUUGUAAUACGGGGUAGCAGAACGUUGAGUUAAUAUUAGAUUUUUCUUUUUUAAAGAAAGAUAUAAAAUGAUAACUCAAGUGAGAAUGGUGACAUUAGUAACGAAUAAGAAGAAAUAAUCAUAAUAUGAUUAAAUUGGAUUCUCCGCCUUAAGCUUAUGGAUUUUUAAGUAACGGCCUCUAAAUUAAAAAUCUAAAGAUUUUAAUGAUGAGAAAAUCUUUAUUACUGAACAACAACAUUUUAAGUGUUAAAUGUGCAGGAAAAGUAGUAAUAUAUUACAUAUUUUAUGUAAUAAAAUAACCGUACCUAGAAACUGAAAAAAGUAAGCUAGUAGAGUAUACGAAGGCGUAAAAUGAGCUAACAAUCAUAAAGGAACUCGGCAAAUUGACUACGUAACUUCGGAAUAAGGAGGUCUCAUUAGUCUUGAUUAAUAUCAAGUAAAAAGGAAGAAGCAUGAAAUAGUGUUGUACGACUGUUUAAUUAAAACACAGCACUUUGCUCAAAGAUUAAAAAUCUAAGUAUUGAGUGUGAUGUCUGCCCAAUCCCGGCUGGUUAACAGAUAUAACUGAAUUUUUUAAGAAAGUUUGGUGUUGACGGAACCCCCGGUUAAUGGCGGCCUUAACGUGAGGGUCCUAAGGUAGCGAAAUGCCUUGGCCGUUAAAUGCGGUCUUGCAUGAAUGAUUUAACGAUACAACAGCUGUCUCUAUGAUUGACUCAGUGAACUUGGAAUAACUGUGAAGAUACAGUUUACCUCUAGUUGGACGAGAAGACCCUAUGCAGCUUUACUGUUACUAAUUAUAGGGUACGGAAACAAAUAUGUUUAGAUUAUAAGGUACAUUAAUAAAUAAAAAUGAAAAUCCUUUAUAUUUCUUCCGUAUUUAUGAAUUGAUUUAGGAAUAUUUAUUUACGAAUAUUAGUGAAUCAACCUAGUUCAGCUUGAAAAAGCGGCCUUAGGUGAGGAACUUAUUGCUAGGAGACAGUUUAUGCGGGGCACAGACCCCAUAAAGAGUAAAUGGGAGUGUCUAAUAUUAACAAUGUAUGAAUAUAUUUUGUAUUCAUUUCAAUAUUGUUUGUUAUAUUAUACAGUUUACUGUAUUUUAUCUUAUAAAAUUAUUUGUUUAAUCUGCACGAUCAGAUAUUCAUUUAAUAUAGUUUAUAUAGAAUUUUAGGUACGAUUUUAUCUAACACGAAAUUAGAUGUAAUGAAAAUAUUACGAAUGUUUCUAAUAUUUUCUUAGUUAUUAUAUAAUAUAAUAAUGUUGAUUAUUACUUAAUAGGCUCAACGGCUAAAUCGUGCCUUACUGUUUGAUUAACAACAAAUCUUACAGUUGCGUAAGCAGGGCGUAGGAUCACAAGAUGCAAUAAGGAAAGAUCUUGGAUUAUAGGAAAAGCUACGCUAGGGAUGUUUGUCCUUUAAUAAUUUAAAAAUUAUUAAUAAUAAAUUGGGUUAAAUUCAAGAAUUACUUAAAUAAGUAAAUUUGAAGCGAAAUUUAUCUUAGCAAAUUAAAAGAAAGAUAAAAACGUUC
rnacentral:rRNA from 1 species